rnacentral:rRNA from 1 species
GAUGAACGCUAGCGGCAGGCCUAAUACAUGCAAGUCGAGGGGUAGAAGAGGCUUGCUUCUUUGAGACCGGCGCACGGGUGCGUAACGCGUAUGCAACCUACCUUCACCUGGGGGAUAGCCCGGAGAAAUCCGGAUUAAUACCGCCUAAAAUCACCGGAUGGCAUUAUCCAAUGAACAAACAUGCAUGGGCUGCAGAUGGGCAUGCGUGUCAUUAUCUAGUUGGCGGGGUAACGGCCCACCAAGUGGACGAUGACUAGGGGAUCUGAGAGGAUGGCCCCCCACACUGGUACUGAGACACGGACCAGACUCCUACAGGAGGCAGCAGUAAGGAAUAUUGGUCAAUGGAGGCAACUCUGAACCAGCCAUGCCGCGUGCAGGAAGACUGCCCUAUGGGUUGUAAACUGCUUUUAUUCGGGAAUAAACCUUAUUACGUGUAAUGAGCUGAAUGUACCGAAGGAAUAAGGAUCGGCUAACUCCGUGCCAGCAGCCGCCGUAA